UUCAUUCUGCAGUUUCACCAAACAUCAACUGAGAUCCAAGUCAAAUCCAGUUCCACACUGUGAGGAGGAGUCAAUGCAAAACUCAGAUGUCUUCCACCUCUACUUAUCUGACUGCAGAGAGGAUGACAGAGAACAGUGGACACACAGUUUAACAUGAUGGACUAUAGGACAGGACUGCUGCUGUUAACUAUCUGCUGGGCAGGUGUUGAUGGUCAGACUCUGACAGAAUCUGAACCAGUGGUUAAAAGGCCUGGAGAAUCUCACAGAUUGACCUGCACAGCCUCUGGAUUGAACUUUGCUGGCUACUAUAUGGCCUGCAUCAGACAGGCUCCUGGAAAAGGACUGGAGUGGAUUGCUUCUAUCAGCAGUGGCAGUGGUAGUGGCAAAUACUACUCUCAGUCAGUUCAAGGCCGGUUUACCAUCUCCAGAGACAACAGCAGACAGCAGGUGUAUCUGCAGAUGAACAGUCUGAAGACUGAAGAUUCUGCUGUUUAUUAUUGUGCUCGAGACUCACAGUGACUGGAGUUGGUUGAGCAGCUGUACAAAAUCCUAUACUACUCAUCUUUACUGACUGAUAGAUUCAGACAAAGAAUUAUU